AGAGGUAGCUGAAGCAUGAGACUCCUAUGGAAUCAGCUUCACCUUCACCUGCGUCCUCGUUAAAGCACCAGCCACGGUAUUGAUUUCCCUCUGGGGACUAGAAGUAACGAAGCUCUUCUGAUGGGUUUAACAGCGUUCAUACAAAACGUCCUCCUCCCUGUAAACUGUCAUUGAAACCUGUCGCCAAGUCCUGCAGACCUGCCUGAACCGGGACCCCAGCCUCAUUUCUGAUGUCCUUGCCAUUAGUUAGGGAGUAGUGUAUCUGCCAGAGUUGUAGGGACAUGCCAACAGACAUCAUACACUUUCAUUAUGGAAAUAGCUUUCGGAACAUUUGAUUUAUUUUUACUUCUCCCGUACUUGUAAUUUUGACUCAUUCGUUUUCAUUUUCUUUUGCAUUACAUUGUAAUAAAAGGUUGCGCCUA